CAGGGAUUGCCUUAGUAACGGCGAGUGAAGCGGCAACAGCUCAAAUUUGAAAUCUGGCCCUYGGGUCCGAAUUGUAAUUUGUAGAGGAUGAUUUUGGUGCGGUAUCUUCUGAGUUCCUUGGAACAGGACGCCUUAGAGGGUGAGAGCCCCGUACGGUUGAAUGCCUAGCCUCUGUAAAUCUCAUUUCAUGAGUCGAGUAGUUUGGGAAUGCUGCUCUAAAUGGGAGGUAAAUUUCUUCUAAAGCUAAAUAUUGGCCAGAGACCGAUAGCGCACAAGUAGAGUGAUCGAAAGAUGAAAAGCACUUUGAAAAGAGGGUUAAAUAGCACGUGAAAUUGUUGAAAGGGAAGGAUUUGUGACCAGACUUUUUCUGGGCGGAUCAUCCGGGGUUCUCUCCGGUGCACUUUGCCCAGUAAAGGCCAGCAUCGGUUUUCGGCGGGGGAUAAAAGCAGUAGGAAUGUGGCUCUCUACGGGGAGUGUUAUAGCCUAUUGUAUAAUACCCUGCUGGGGACCGAGGUACGCGCUUCUGCAAGGAUGCUGGCGUAAUGGUUAUCAAUCACCCGUCUUGAAACACGGACCAAGGAGUCGAACAUUUGUGCGAGUGUUUGGGUGUUAAACCCUCACGCGUAAUGAAAGUGAACGGAGGUGAGAGCCCUUACCGGUGCAUCAUCGACCGAUCCUGAAGUUAUCGGAUUGAUUUGAGUAAGAGCAUAACUGUUCCGACCCAAAAGAUGGUGAACUAUGCUUGGAUAAGGUGAAACCAGAGGAAACUCUAGUGGAGGCUCGCAUCGAUUCUGACGUGCAAAUCUAUCGUCAAAUCUGCGCAUGGAGGCGAAAGA
rnacentral:rRNA from 1 species